rfam:Gossypium raimondii Chr13_contig_81, whole genome shotgun sequence.
UGUUAAAAAUUCCAUCAAUUUGUACAGUUAAAAAUUGGCGUGGCUAACAAAAUAAUCAGACAAUAACACAUGCCGUGUCAUGUGUACCUCAUAUUGAUGUACAAAGAUCAAUUUUUAACUGUAGAAAUAGAAGAAAAUUUUAAAA